AUUUUCGCAUCAAAUUUAUGUGUUCUUAUUCGUAAUCGGAAGAUAUGUACCGUGUUCCAGUUUAUGCACUUCUCACGACGGCAGCUCUUUUAACCUGUGCCGGCGCUGCGAGCACGGUCUCUCAGGGACCUGAUAACAUACAACUGUUUGAAGGUGACUUGGCGACCAUCAGUUGCAACUAUUCAACCGACAGUGAGAUGUAUUCUUUACAACUUUACCGUCAACAUCAGAACUCUGAGAUCGAAUUUUUAAUCCUCUCCCCUUCUUACGGAACUGCUUCCAAGGCAGAAGAGUUAGGUGAUCGUUUUUCGGCAUCUCUCAACACAUCAAAAAAGGAGGGCGAAUUUGCUGUGGCUGAGUUGAAACUGUCAGACAGCGCCGUGUAUUACUGUGCUUUGAGACACACUGCAACACCUACUAUUUACAGCCUCAUUCAAAAACUACGCCCGUUAGAGAAAAAGCGACUGUAA